UACGGAAGGGGCAAGCGUUAAUCGGAAUUACUGGGCGUAAAGCGUGCGCAGGCGGUGAUGUAAGACAGGUGUGAAAUCCCCGGGCUUAACCUGGGAACUGCAUUUGUGACUGCAUCGCUGGAGUGCGGCAGAGGGGGAUGGAAUUCCGCGUGUAGCAGUGAAAUGCGUAGAUAUGCGGAGGAACACCGAUGGCGAAGGCAAUCCCCUGGGCCUGCACUGACGCUCAUGCACGAAAGCGUGGGGAGCAAACAGG
rnacentral:rRNA from 1 species